rnacentral:tRNA from 1 species
GGUCGCUUAGCUCAGCUGGGAGAGCGCCUGCCUUACAAGCAGGGGGUCCCAGGUGCGAUCCCUGUAGCGUCCA